UUGACGGGGCCCGCACAAGCGGAGGAACAUGUGGUUUAAUUCGAUGAUACGCGAGGAACCUUACCCGGGCUUGAAAUGCAUCUGACCGGCCUUGAAAGAGGUUUUCCCUUCGGGGCAGAUGUGUAGGUGCUGCAUGGUUGUCGUCAGCUCGUGCCGUGAGGUGUCGGCUUAAGUGCCAUAACGAGCGCAACCCUCAUCAUUAGUUACCAUCAGGUAAGGCUGGGGACUCUAAUGAGACUGCCAUCGUAAGAUGUGAGGAAGGUGGGGAUGACGUCAAAUCAGCACGGCCCUUACGUCCGGGGCGACACACGUGUUACAAUGGGUGGUACAAAGGGCAGCUACCUGGCGACAGGAUGCUAAUCUCCAAAACCACUCUCAGUUCGGAUCGGAGUCUGCAACUCGACUCCGUGAAGCUGGAUUCGCUAGUAAUCGCGCAUCAGCCACGGCGCGGUGAAUACGUUCCCGGGCCUU
rnacentral:rRNA from 1 species